AUUGAACGCUGGCGGCAUGCCUAACACAUGCAAGUCGAACGCUGUAGCAAUACAGAGUGGCAGACGGGUGAGUAACGCGUGGGAACAUGCCCUUCGGUUCAGAAUAACUCAGGGAAACUUGAGCUAAUACCGGAUACGCCCUUAGGGGGAAAGAUUUAUUGCCGAAGGAUUGGCCCGCGUCCGAUUAGCUAGUUGGUGAGGUAAUGGCUCACCAAGGCGACGAUCGGUAGCUGGUCUGAGAGGAUGAUCAGCCACACUGGGACUGAGACACGGCCCAGACUCCUACGGGAGGCAGCAGUGGGGAAUAUUGGACAAUGGGCGCAAGCCUGAUCCAGCCAUGCCGCGUGAGUGAUGAAGGCCCUAGGGUUGUAAAGCUCUUUCGCCAGGGACGAUAAUGACGGUACCUGGAUAAGAAGCCCCGGCUAACUUCGUGCCAGCAGCCGCGGUAACAC
rnacentral:rRNA from 1 species